AUUGAACGCUGGCGGCAGGCCUAACACAUGCAAGUCGAGCGAGCGGCGGACGGGUGAGUAAUGUAUGGGGACUGCCCGAUAGAGGGGGAUAACUACUGGAAACGGUUGCUCAUACCGCCUACUGUCGGAUAACCCAUAUGGGAUUGGCUAGUAGGUAAGGUAAUGGCUUACCUAGGCGACGAUCCCUAGCUGGUCUGAGAGGAUGAUCAGCCACACUGGGACUGAGACAGGGCCCCGACUCCUACGGAGUCAGCAGUGGGGAAUAUUGCACAAGGGGCGCAAGCCUGAUGCAGCCAUGCCGCGUGUAGGAAGAAGGCCCUAGGGUUGUAAAGUACUUUCAGUCGGGAGGCGUUACCGACAGAAGAAGCAACGGCUAACUCCGUGCCAGCAGCCGCGGUAAUUC
rnacentral:rRNA from 1 species